rnacentral:pre_miRNA from 1 species
ACUACAACAUUCGGACCGUCGGUCUACCGAGCAAUAUCACCCGCUCGGUGGAAGAUCUUCCCUUUGUCGUAUAUA